GCACGGGACAAUCCUGGUGGCGAGUGGCGAACCGGUGAUUCAUCCUUCCUAACGUGCCCAGACGGGCGGUAUAACCCAACAUAAGCUGCCGCUAUACCGCUUGCCAGCUAUGGAUGAAAGCGGGGGACUCGCUCGAUCCUCGCGCGAUUGGAGCGCCCUAUAUCAGAUUAUCUUGUUGGUGGGGAACAAGCCCACCAUGGCGACGAUCAUAGCUGACUGGUCUGACACGCACCACCGGCCACUCUGAUAACUGAGCACACUCCCACACUCCUACGGGAGGCAGCAUAUGUGGAAUUUGUGAACCAUGUCCGACCCCCUGAUCCCGCGAUGCCGAGUGCAGGAUGAAGGCCUUCGGGUUGCAUACUGCUUUUGUGCAGAACAACUCGCCUCUUUCUUUUACAGAGCGCUAAUGACGGUCCCGUAAUAAUUCCCACCCGCUAACUACGUGCCUACAGCCGCGGCAAUACUUAUGCUGCUAGCUUGAAUCGAAAUUACUGGGCGUCAAGCUAUGCGCAUCCGGUUAUAUAAAACAGAUGUCAAAUCCCGCGGGCUCAACCUGGAACCUGACACUGUGACUGUAUAGCUAGAGCACGGUAGAGGGGGAUGGAAUUCCACGGGUAGCAUUGAAAUCCGAACAUCUGCUGAGGAACACCGAUGGUAAAUCGCAUCCCCUGGACCUGUACUGACGCUCAUGCACGAAAGCGGGUAGAGCACACAGGAUUACCACCCCUGGAACUCCACUCCCUAACCGAUGUCUACCGGUUCUUGGGUCUUCACUGACUCAUUAACUAUCCUCACGCGUGAAACUCCCCGCCUGGGGAGUCCCGCCGCAAGGGUCAGACUCCCACGCAUUGACGGGAACCCGCGCAAUCGGUCGAUGAUGCGGUUUAA
rnacentral:rRNA from 1 species